GUUUCAAGUGAUUAUGAAAACUUUGAUAUUUAAUAUCGCACUGAGGAAGUAUAUGCAGGAACAAAUUGUUAUUUAGGAAUUCUUCGUUUAUGAUCAAAC
rnacentral:snoRNA from 1 species